rnacentral:rRNA from 1 species
AUUGAACGCUGGCGGCAGGCUUAACACAUGCAAGUCGAGCGAGCGGCGGACGGGUGAGUAAUGUCUGGGAACCUGCCUGAUGGAGCGGGAUAACUACUGGAAACGGUAGCUACUACCGCAUACCAUCAGAUGUGCCCAGACGGGAUUAGCUAGUAGGUGGGGAAAUGGCUAACCUAGGCGACGAUCCCUAGCUGGUCUGAGAGGAUGACAAGCCACACUGGAACGGAGACACGGUCCAGACUCCUACGGGAGGCAGCAGUGGGGAAUAUUGGACAAGGGGCGCAAGCCUGAUGGAGCCAUGCCGCGUGUGUGAAGAAGGCCUUCGGUUUGUAAAGCACUUUCAGCGAGGAGGCGUUACUCGCAGAGGAAGCACCGGCUAACUCCGUGCCAGCAGCCGCGGUAAUAC